UACGAGGGGGGCAAGCGUUGUUCGGAAUUAUUGGGCGUAAAGGGCGCGUAGGCGGGCUCGCAAGUCAGGGGUGAAAUCCCACGGCUCAACCGUGGAAGUGCCUUUGAUACUGCGGGCCUUGAGGGAGGUAGGGGCGUGCGGAACUUCCGGUGGAGCGGUGAAAUGCGUAGAUAUCGGAAGGAACACCGGUGGCGAAAGCGGCGCGCUGGACCUCUUCUGACGCUGAGGCGCGAAAGCCAGGGGAGCAAACGGG
rnacentral:rRNA from 1 species